UGAUUAAAUCAAACCGAAGUUUUCUAACUAUUUUAUUUCCCUCUCCCGAGCCCUAUUUCUUCUCCCCGUCGCCGAAUCCCUUCCCUUCUCAUCAUCUUGCGACGCCAACUCCUCUCUUCUUCUCAACGAGCUCGCGACCUGGUGCCCUAAUCUCGCCGACUUCGCUCCUGGCCUUCCUCGCCUUCUUCGUUGAGCUCACGCCACCGAAUCCUCAACCUCUCGCGGCCCUACUUCUCACGCGGCCACCACAGCCGCGACCUUGCUUCCUCCAGCUAGCACCGAGACGCCGCACCAGUGCCGGUGUAACCGAGCCCCAGGCGCCCAUCCUCAUCUCUCCCGAGCCGUGCCCUAACGAAUCUGACAGGUAGCAGGUAGAUGAGUCAUGGAUGCUUGGAGAGUCCCAGCUGCCAGUCCCACGACACACUCGAGGAUAGUUUCUUUUCCGGUUUUGGUUGCUAAUGCUAUUUAUGUUUUGGUUUUGUGAACUUGGUAUUGUAUGCUUCGAUAUGAAUUUUGGAGUCCCGUCGGGUGGUUGCAACAUUUUUUGUUAGUGCCGUUGUUAGUUUUACGUUCGUAUCA